rnacentral:rRNA from 1 species
GAUGAACGCUAGCUACAGGCUUAACACAUGCAAGUCGAGGGGUAACGAGAGGAAAGCUUGCUUUCCUUGUCGACGACCGGCGCACGGGUGAGUAACGCGUAUCCAACCUGCCCCCAACUAGGGAAUAACCUUGCGAAAGUAAGACUAAUACCCUAUAAUUUCCUCAGAUAUCAUCUGACGAGGAAUAAAGAUUUAUCGGUUGUGGAUGGGGAUGCGUCUGAUUAGCUUGUUGGCGGGGUAACGGCCCACCAAGGCAACGAUCAGUAGGGGUUCUGGGAGGAAGGUCCCCCACAUUGGAACUGAGACACGGUCCAAACUCCUACGGGAGGCAGCAGUGAGGAAUAUUGGUCAAUGGGCGGAAGCUUGAACCAGCCAAGUAGCGUGCAGGAUGACGGCCCUAUGGGUUGUAAACUGCUUUUAUACAGGAAUAAAGUUAGCCACGUGUGGUUAUUUGUAGGUACUGUAUGAAUAAGGACCGGCUAAUUCCGUGCCAGCAGCCGCAGUAA